rnacentral:lncRNA from 1 species
UUGAUUUCAGAAAUCUUCUUAGUAUAAUGAACUCAUACGGCCACUGGAGCUCACCCACUUUGAGCCCAGGAAGGGUCGGUUAUGUCCUCUUUGAACGGCUUCAAUAGAGACACAUGGAACAUCGGAUGCACUUUCAGCUUGGAAGGCAGCAAUAAUCGAUACUCUAUCUUUUCAAUUUGAUGUGUGAUGAUGAAGAGACCUUCAUAUCUCCUUAUGAGUGCUUUGUGAUAGUCC